CACGUAGGGUGCGAGCGUUGUCCGGAAUUAUUGGGCGUAAAGGGCGCGUAGGCGGUGCCACAAGUCACCUGUGAAAUCUCUGGGCUUAACUCAGAACGGUCAACUGAUACUGUCGGACUAGAGUGCAGAAGGGGCAACUGGAAUUCUCGGUGUAGCGGUGAAAUGCGUAGAUAUCGAGAGGAACACCUGCGGCGAAGGCGGGUUGCUGGGCUGACACUGACGCUGAGGCGCGAAAGCUAGGGGAGCGAACGGG
rnacentral:rRNA from 1 species